rnacentral:rRNA from 1 species
UACGGAGGGUGCAGCGUUAUCCGGAUUCACUGGGUUUAAAGGGUGCGUAGGCGGGUGUGUAAGUCAGUGGUGAAAUCUUCGAGCUUAACUCGGAAACUGCCGUUGAUACUAUACAUCUUGAAUAUUGUGGAGGUGAGCGGAAUAUGUCAUGUAGCGGUGAAAUGCUUAGAUAUGACAUAGAACACCGAUUGCGAAGGCAGCUUGCUACACAAUGAUUGACGCUGAGGCACGAAAGCGUGGGGAUCAAACAGG